rnacentral:rRNA from 1 species
UAGGUAACCUGCCUCUAAGAUUGGGAUAACUUGUCGAAAGACGAGCUAAUACCAAAUAAGAUCACGGUCUCCUCGGGGACAGAGGUCAAAGGUAGCCUCUAUUUAUAAGCUAUCGCUGAGAGAUGGGCCUGCGUACCAUUAGCUUGUUGGUGAGGUAACGGCUCACCAAGGCAAAGAUGGUUAGCUGGUCUGAGAGGAUGAUCAGCCACACUAGAAA